GACGAACGCUGGCGGCGUGCUUAACACAUGCAGGUCGAACGGAAAGGCCCUGCUUGCAGGGUACUCGAGUGGCGAACGGGUGAGUAACACGUGGGUGCUCUGCCCUGCACUUCGUGAUAAGCCUGGGCAACUGGGUCUAAUACCGGAUAGGAGCCACGUUUAGUGUGAUGGUUGGAAAGAUUUUUCGGUGUAGGAUGAGCUUGCGGGCUAUCGGCUUGUUGGUGGGGUAAUGGCCUACCAAGGCGGCGACGGGUAGCCGGCCUGAGAGGGUGGACGGCCACAUUGGGACCGAGAGGCGGCCCAGACGCCGAAUGGUGGAAGAUGGGGGGAAGAUUGAUCCAGGGGCGCCGGGCUGGUGCAGCGACGCCGCGGGUGGGAAGACGGCCUUGGGGUGGUAGAGAAGCUGCGCGAGGGACGAAGCCUUUUGUGACGGUACCUAGAGAAGAAGCACCGGCUAACUUCGUG
rnacentral:rRNA from 1 species